rnacentral:rRNA from 1 species
AUUGAACGCUGGCGGCAUGAUUUACACAUGCAAGUCGAACGGUAACAGGCCGCAAGGUGCUGACGAGUGGCGAACGGGUGAGUAAUGCAUCGGAACGUGCCCAGUCGUGGGGGAUAACUACUCGAAAGAGUAGCUAAUACCGCAUACGAUCUAUGGAUGAAAGCGGGGGUCCGUAAGGCCUCGCGCGAUUGGAGCGGCCGAUGUCAGAUUAGGUAGUUGGUGGGGUAAAGGCUCACCAAGCCAACGAUCUGUAGCUGGUCUGAGAGGACGACCAGCCACACUGGGACUGAGACACGGCCCAGACUCCUACGGGAGGCAGCAGUGGGGAAUUUUGGACAAUGGGCGCAAGCCUGAUCCAGCAAUGCCGCGUGCAGGAAGAAGGCCUUCGGGUUGUAAACUGCUUUUGUACGGAACGAAACGGCUCUGGUUAAUACCCGGGGCUAAUGACGGUACCGUAAGAAUAAGCACCGGCUAACUACGUG